rnacentral:rRNA from 1 species
AUUGGAUAACCGUGGGAAAUCUAGAGCUAAUACAUGCAGUAAAUUGUGAGGUGUCAAAACCUUUCAAAGCAUUUAUUGGAUCAAAACCAACUGUGCCAUUGGGUAAGAGUGGCAACACUCCUCCAUUGGUGCAAGGUGAAUCUAGAUAACUUUGCUGAUCGUAUGGCCCAGAGCUGACGACAUUUCAAAUGAAUUUCUGCCCUAUCAACUUGUUGGUAAGGUAGUGGCUUACCAAGGUGACAACGGGUAACGGGGAAUCAGGGUUCGAUUCCGGAGAGGGAGCCUGAGAAACGGCUACCACAUCCAAGGGAGGCAGCAGGCGCGCAAAUUACCCAAUCCAGAAUAUGGGAGGUGGUGACGAGAAAUACUAGAUGAUUUCCCUAAAAGGAUAUCAUACUGGAAUGGACGUAAUUUAAGCAUUUCGUUGAGUAACAACUGGAGGGCAAGUCUGGUGCCAGCAGCCGCGGUAAUUCCAGCUCCAGUAGUGUAUCUUAAAGUUGCUGCGUUUAAAACGCUCGUAGUUGGAUUACGCAGUGCAAAUUGGUCGAUUGGGGUGAUGCUGCAUUAAAUUCAUUGUUUUCACAUGGGGGUCAUGGUUUAUCCUGACAUUCUCUGUGUGUUUCAAUGAAGUAGUACACGUCGAUUAACAGCCAAUUUGUGCUACUUUUUCGUGAGGAUGAUAUUUGACCUUUAUUGUGUUGAAUGUUGUGUCUUACGAAGUGUGCCUUGAAUAAAUCAGAGUGCUCAAAGCAGCUUUAGCUUGAAUGUUGAUAGCAUGGAACGAACAAUUGUGUUUUUGUGAGAUGGAGACGUGUACGUUGUGUUGAAUUAUAUUCGAUGCAAUGGAGUCUCU